CGGGACACGUGGUAUCCUGUCUGAAUAUGGGGGGACCAUCCUCCAAGGCUAAAUACUCCUGACUGACCGAUAGUGAACCAGUACCGUGAGGGAAAGGCGAAAAGAACCCCGGCGAGGGGAGUGAAAAAGAACCUGAAACCGUGUACGUACAAGCAGUGGGAGCACGCUUCGGCGUGUGACUGCGUACCUUUUGUAUAAUGGGUCAGCGACUUAUAUUCUGUAGCAAGGUUAACCGAAUAGGGGAGCCGAAGGGAAACCGAGUCUUAACUGGGCGUUAAGUUGCAGGGUAUAGACCCGAAACCCGGUGAUCUAGCCAUGGGCAGGUUGAAGGUUGGGUAACACUAACUGGAGGACCGAACCGACUAAUGUUGAAAAAUUAGCGGAUGACUUGUGGCUGGGGGUGAAAGGCCAAUCAAACCGGGAGAUAGCUGGUUCUCCCCGAAAGCUAUUUAGGUAGCGCCUCGUGAAUUCAUCUCCGGGGGUAGAGCACUGUUUCGGCAAGGGGGUCAUCCCGACUUACCAACCCGAUGCAAACUGCGAAUACCGGAGAAUGUUAUCACGGGAGACACACGGCGGGUGCUAACGUCCGUCGUGAAGAGGGAAACAACCCAGACCGCCAGCUAAGGUCCCAAAGUCAUGGUUAAGUGGGAAACGAUGUGGGAAGGCCCAGACAGCCAGGAUGUUGGCUUAGAAGCAGCCAUCAUUUAAAGAAAGCGUAAUAGCUCACUGGUCGAGUCGGCCUGCGCGGAAGAUGUAACGGGGCUAAACCAUGCACCGAAGCUGCGGCAGCGACACUAUGUGUUGUUGGGUAGGGGAGCGUUCUGUAAGCCUGCGAAGGUGUACUGUGAGGUAUGCUGGAGGUAUCAGAAGUGCGAAUGCUGACAUAAGUAACGAUAAAGCGGGUGAAAAGCCCGCUCGCCGGAAGACCAAGGGUUCCUGUCCAACGUUAAUCGGGGCAGGGUGAGUCGACCCCUAAGGCGAGGCCGAAAGGCGUAGUCGAUGGGAAACAGGUUAAUAUUCCUGUACUUGGUGUUACUGCGAAGGGGGGACGGAGAAGGCUAUGUUGGCCGGGCGACGGUUGUCCCGGUUUAAGCGUGUAGGCUGGUUUUCCAGGCAAAUCCGGAAAAUCAAGGCUGAGGCGUGAUGACGAGGCACUACGGUGCUGAAGCAACAAAUGCCCUGCUUCCAGGAAAAGCCUCUAAGCAUCAGGUAACAUCAAAUCGUACCCCAAACCGACACAGGUGGUCAGGUAGAGAAUACCAAGGCGCUUGAGAGAACUCGGGUGAAGGAACUAGGCAAAAUGGUGCCGUAACUUCGGGAGAAGG
rnacentral:rRNA from 1 species